rnacentral:rRNA from 1 species
UACGUAGGGGGCAAGCGUUGUCCGGAAUCAUUGGGCGUAAAGCGCGUGUAGGCGGCCAGAAAAGUCCGCUGUGAAAACUCGAGGCUCAACUUCGAGCUGUCGGUGGAAACUUUCUGGCUAGAGUCCGGAAGAGGAGAAUGGAAUUCCUGGUGUAGCGGUGAAAUGCGCAGAUAUCAGGAAGAACACCCGUGGCGAAGGCGGUUCUCUGGGACGGUACUGACGCUGAGACGCGAAAGCGUGGGGGAGCGAACAGG